rnacentral:rRNA from 1 species
GCGAACGCUGGCGGCAGGCCUAACACAUGCAAGUCGAGCGCCCGUAGCGAUACGGGAGCGGCAGACGGGUGAGUAACACGUGGGAACGUACCCUUCGGUUCGGAAUAACCCAGGGAAACUUGGAUUAAUACCGGAUACGUCCGUAAGGAGAAAGAUUUAUCGCCGAAGGAUCGGCCCGCGUCCGAUUAGCUUGUUGGUGGGGUAAUGGCCCACCAAGGCUACGAUCGGUAGCUGGUCUGAGAGGAUGAUCAGCCACACUGGGACUGAGACACGGCCCAGACUCCUACGGGAGGCAGCAGUGGGGAAUAUUGGACAAUGGGCGCAAGCCUGAUCCAGCCAUGCCGCGUGAGUGAUGAAGGCCCUAGGGUUGUAAAGCUCUUUCGGCGGGGAAGAUAAUGACGGUACCCGCAGAAGAAGCCCCGGCUAACUUCGU